UACGGAGGGGGCUAGCGUUAAUCGGAAUUACUGGGCGUAAAGCGUGCGCAGACGGUUGCGUAAGUCAGAUGUGAAAGCCCCGGGCUCAACCUGGGAAUUGCAUUUGAGACUGCAUAGCUAGAGUGCGGAAGAGGGAAGCGGAAUUUCCGGUGUAGCGGUGAAAUGCGUAGAUAUCGGAAGGAACACCAGUGGCGAAAGCGGCUUCCUGGUCCAGCACCGACGUUCAGGCACGAAAGCGUGGGGAGCAAACAGG
rnacentral:rRNA from 1 species